UUUUGAUAGCCUCUCUACAACUUGUUCGUGAUGGAACACAUGGUAAAAAUCGAGUGAAAAUAGUGGAUAAAAUCUGAUAGAAUAUAGAAUGAUGCUGAAGCAACAGUGAUGUAUUAAAUCAAAAGUUAGAAUUGUAUGUCGUGUUUCAAAUUCGUUUGCAGUAGAAUUCUUUUGAUGAAAAUUCUUUUAAUGAAGAAAGAAUUUAAAAUGAAUUGCACCUAGAUAAAUAAAAAAGGAUAUAUUUCGAUUAAGGUUUAAUAACAAUAUUGCAAUUAAGUUAGAGGAACAGUGAAAAAUUGAUCUUGUAUGAUGAGAGUCUUGUUUGCUAAGGGAAAAAUUAAAUCAAUUCAUGGAUAUGUAAUUUGCAAGCUGCGAUUCAUAAAAAAGAGAGCACAAUCGAGCGAAACGCGUCGAACAAACAAAUAUUCCGAAGCUCCGCUCAUAAAAGCCUCGAUUCCACCGGGGUUGCUAUUCCAUCUUUAACGAAUCGAAACUUGUGAGAGGCGAGCAGAGCAUGGGCGGUCGGUGGCGCGUUAAAACACUUUCUUCGACAAAAGCCAUCGAGGCUCGAGGUCAGCCUCUUAACCCAGAUUCCGAGUCGGAAGGCGAGAAGACAGAAGCUCUCGGUUACACACGAUCAACGCGCUCAAUUCAAGAGAGUCCCUUAACCUCUUCGUCUUCGGAAACAUCCGCCUGCAACUCUUCGUUCCAAUGCGACCACCCCAAAAAGAGAAGACGAGGUAGAAACAAAAGAAAGAAACAUAAAGCAAGAAGAAAAGGAAGACAAAAAACGUAAAAAGAAAGGGAAAAAUUUCAGUAUAAGCGUAAUAACUACGGCGCGCGAUACAGCGACGGUAAAAGAAUGGUCCAAAUGAAGCCUCCUAAAUUUCAACACCCUCUUCGCUAGAGCGACCAGAGCUCCACAACGCCAUUCUCCGGCUCUCUUCCUCCGCCUUCGACUUCCCUUUGUCCGCUCUCUCGUUUUUUCCCCCGCUCCCUUUAGCCCUCGCCCCGUUUUCUCGAUACUCUCCCGGUAUAUCCAGCCUGUUCCUUUUCUUCCUCGGUCCUUUCGGCGGUCUCUGUCGGCGAGCCGAUGCCCUCGCAAUCAGCCGGCAAAGUGGAGUCGCGCGCGCGACGACGGCGUCGGCGGUGGCAGCGGUGGUAGCAAGCGGUAGCGGCGGCUGUGUGGCGGUGGCGUAUCCGUGAAACACGCGGUGCAAGUGCCGGGGUGGCGAUGACGCAAAGUCAGCGUGGGCCAAUGGACUGGCUGCUGUACGGGAGGUGUUCGGUGGGCCACGAUUGGGCGUGGCUCGAGCAGAGGGUGCGUCAGGGGUGCCACCGCCGACGUGGCUGCGUGGGGGAAUGCCAAAGUGUGCCCCGGGGUGUAAUAUCAUACCGCUAGGUGGAUAAAUAGACGCACGAAACUAGUAGGGACGAGUGGGGAACGAGUAACGAACGGAACAGCAGCGAGGAUGAGACGAGGAAGGAGAGGAGGGACGACUGGUGAAACUGGGGUGGGUCGCGGGGUUGGAGAAGAGUGAGAGAGUGAGAGAGAGAGAGAGGGGGGGGGGAUCUGGCUAAAAGAGUAACCAGAGGAUGACGGACACGCGAGAGAGGCAGCGCGUGGAGGAAUAGAGGAGAGUGGUAGAAAGGGCGAGAAAGGGAGAGGAGGAAAUGAGGAAAGGGUCGUGCACCGAGCGAGGGUUACUCAAGGGGGUUAGACGGAAAGACGGAGAGGCGAGACAAAGCGUGUUGGAACAGGACGAGGGAUCGGUUGCCAGAGGUAGAGUAGGGGAAAUUGGGUGGCUACGCGAUCCGAGCGAGACUAGACUAGAACAAAUAGUGGUUGUAGCCAUCCUCAGCUUCUGAGGUAUUUUCCACUCGUGCGAGUUGCACGCAUUCGAACGCCGGCCCAGGCUUGCUCACGGCGAACCGUGGAACCGUUUGUAUGCACAGGCCGUGUCGUGGCUUUCGUCGGAGGAUCGACGGUGGUGGCGGCUGCCGGUGAUGCUUAGUGGUGGUGGCGUUGCCGCUGGAAAAUGCCCAACUCGUCCCCGUGUUUCACGGCGAUACACCAUCCGUACACGACCGGCAUGUCGAAAAAUUGUUGCGGAUAAACUGUUUGGUAUUGUAAAGCAUUCGUUACCGGAAGGAACUAGCGAGUCUUGUUAAAUCACCAGAGAAAUAUAAUAAGAUUGCUUACGUUUAAGCGGCGAGGAUGGAGAAAUGAUAUUCUUGGUUUUUAUGGAGUAUCGUUUUCGGCCUUUUAGCUCGUAUUUUUAUGAUUAUCGAAGUUCGGUAGUACAAAUGGCAGUAGAAAUGCAAAAAUAUGGAUGCAGAUAAAUUAUUUUUGCGUUAUUCGAUCAAACAUCUUAAUUCCUCAAACGCUCUCACUUCUUUCAUGGUAUUCGAUCUCUUUUAUUAUCCAAUUAAUUCAAUUUAAACCUGCCGUUCUCCUCGGAUUUGUAUGGCCCAAAAUGGACCUUAUAUUUCAAUAGAUAUCCUUAAAAUAUAGAGAGUAUUUAAACUAUUUUGUUUUAGUAUCUGACAUAAUUUUACUGUUUUCCUUAUAUUCCACGCUUUUUAAAAAGCUUUAUAAAAUAUUCCUAUAAAAAGAAGAAGAUAUCCGAAGAGAUAUAAUACAAACGUGAAGGAGAAUAGGAAUAAAAUUAUUGAAUGUGCACGAAUGUUAUAUUCCCAAAGAACGAAAACUAAAAAGAAAGGCUAUAAACUCGAUAUCAAGAAGGAAACAAAAACGAUGUGGAAUGGUCAUCGAUCGUGAAACCUACAACCAAUCUGGAGUCAUCGUCGUCGAAGGCUUGCUUACCAUCCUGUCCGUAUCGUCUCGCAUGCGAUUUUGUAGAAUGCUGAGCACAGUGUGUAGCGAAACAGGAUGUUGUCAGCUGAAAUUAAAUUUUCCCCGUAGAGCCGGCGGGUCGCUCGGCAACCCGAUAUUGUGGGCGUUAAGCUACGUACACAAGCGACGACAGACGCAGACAAUGUCGCCGUAGAAUGGUUCGUCGGUGUUCACUUUGCCCGGUUUCGCAAAUCGCCUUAUUCUGCGACAGGAAAGAUGAUAAUUUGGUUGUUGCGCGUUCUUCGCGCGCUGCUGUUAAAUAUCCCGCCAUUUUGCUCCAGAACGCGUUAGAAAUAUUGUUUUCCAGCUACCUGGUUCUAUAUUGUCCCUAGCCAUGUGAAUAAUUACGAUGGACCUGUUUACAGGGUGUCUGGAUUUUAUUCGAUGAAACGAGGGUGUGAUGAUGAUGGAAAUCGAGAUAUGGUGGUUGUAGAAGGUGGAAUAUUUUUCGAUCGGUAAGUCGAGGCAACGAACAUAUAUUUAUUUAUAUUUUCCUGUGUAUAUAUCUAUGAUUAUGUAUCUUCUUUUUAUACAUCACGCUUUGUGAUUAUUUCUGAUACACAUAUAACUGAUUAUAAUUAUUUAACGUAACUAAUCGAUGGACUAUUUCUUAAGUAAUUUAAAUGAAAUACACGUACAAUUUUUAAGCAAUAAUAUGAUCAAAGGGAGUGCCCAUGGUUUCAAUAAGGAAAUCUAAAUUAGUCUUUACGGUACAAGUGGAACAAAAAUAUAAAAGACGUACCGCUCCAAUACUGUAUUUAUAAUAUAUAUGUUUUAAGGAUGCUUUGAUAGUUCCAGGUAAAAUUCUAUAAUGUUGAACUGUUUAAUGACGAUAGCGGUGUCUAUAGAAUAUUAAGAAAUACGACUUCAAGUAUAUUAAUAUUAGAAAUUAUAACAGUUAUUAAGAGGAGAAAAAGUGAAUACCAAAAAUUUCCACCGAAAGUAUCCUUAUAUUUUUAACAGCGAAAUAACCACAGGGGAAAAGAGAAUCGAAAAUCGGAGAUUCACCAUAAAUACAACGGAUUUAAAUUUGAACGUUCAAACACAAGACGCUCGAAUACUAUCUUCUCUCUCGUUCCAUCCAAACUUCCCUUAAAAUAAUACGAUAUUAUGGCAGAUACAUUGACGAACUUCCCUCAAGUUGGCGAAACAAUCGCGUAAUUGUAAAAACAAGUGCAGCAACUGUACAAUAAGGGUACUUCGCUUACCCGGGAGGAUGAUCCCCGUUCAAGGUGAAUCGUUUCUUCCCCCCACGCGAGCAAUAUAAUACGAUGUAAUUAAGUUUAAUAUCGGAGAAGCUUAAAUACGCAAUUAACGUAAUGUAACGAGAAAGUUUGGUGGGCGUGUGUACACGCGACCAGCCGGGGCUGUAUCGUAAUUUCAAGCGAGUCAACGUUGUCUUCUUCAUCUCCCAGUGUUUUUCGCAUCCUUUGCUUGGUGCUCCUUUGUCCCUUCUUUCAACAGUUCUUCCAUCCCUCACCCCCUAUCCCCCGUUCCAAGCCCUGGUCCGUGAUACAAUCAACUUCAAGGGUGUAGAAGAAACGAGGUAGCCAUUUAUCCGCUACCCCAAGAGCAACCAAGCAAGGGAAAGUCCAAGAAAACUGAGUGUUCCGCCAUUGUCGUGACUUUUUAUAGGAACAAGUUCCCGGGAACAGAACGGGAUUUCGGUCUCUCCGGAAUCAGAUCAAUAUUUCUUUCCGAAGAUUGUUUGGUCUAAUUUGAUUUUAUUUAAUCUGGCAUGAAUUUUGAUUUACGAUUGUUUUUCAUAAAUGGAGAUAAAAGGGAUGUAGUGUCGUCGAUUUUGAGGAAAUUUACUUCCCUCGAAGAUUAAGCUUUAUGAAAAUUAUUGUUUUCUUUUUUAAUACAUCGGCGAAGGUAACUUUGGUUUUGUUAUGAAAUGCUCGAAUUCUGUUUGAAUUUUUUAAAACCAGUACGAAAUAAUUUCCAGUAAUAUGCGAUAGAUAUCUUCUUUAGUUCUAUGGUUAUAAUAAUAUCUUAUGACAAAAGAAUGUUUACCUAUCAAACCUUCUUAAUCUUUUGUUCGUGUUCAUUUAUCGUCCAGAAUCUUUACGGUCGUUGAGUGAUCAUUCCAGGGGUUUUACAUAUUCGUUAAUAGUUUAUUUAACUGUUUACCUUUUGUCGUAUUGCUUUUGUCAUAAAUAUAUCGAUCUGUGAAAUUCAAA